GAUGAACGCUGGCGGCGUGCCUAAUACAUGCAAGUCGAGCGAACAGACGAGGAGCUUGCUCCUCUGACGUUAGCGGCGGACGGGUGAGUAACACGUGGAUAACCUACCUAUAAGACUGGGAUAACUUCGGGAAACCGGAGCUAAUACCGGAUAAUAUAUUGAACCGCAUGGUUCAAUAGUGAAAGACGGUUUUGCUGUCACUUAUAGCUGGAUCCGCGCCGCAUUAGCUAGUUGGUAAGGUAACGGCUUACCACGGCAACGAUGCGUGGCCGACCUGAGAGGGUGAUCGGCCACACUGGAACUGAGACACGGUCCAGACUACUACGGGAGGCAGCAGUAGGGAAUCUUCCGCAAUGGGCGAAAGCCUGACGGAGCAACGCCGCGUGAGUGAUGAAGGUCUUCGGAUCGUAAAACUCUGUUAUGAGGGAAGAACAAAUGUGUAAGUAACUAUGCACGUCUUGACGGUACCUAAUCAGAAAGCCACGGCUAACUACGUG
rnacentral:rRNA from 1 species